GAUGAAGAACGCAGCGAAAUGCGAUAAGUAAUGUGAAUUGCAGAAUUCAGUGAAUCAUCGAAUCUUUGAACGCACAUUGCGCCCCCUGGUAUUCCGGGGGGCAUGCCUGUUCGAGCGUCAUUUGUACCUUCAAGCUCUGCUUGGUGUUGGGUGUUUGUCUCGCCUCUGCGUGUAGACUCGCCUCAAAACAAUUGGCAGCCGGCGUAUUGAUUUCGGAGCGCAGUACAUCUCGCGCUUUGCACUCAUAACGACGACGUCCAAAAGUACAUUUUUACACUCUUGACCUCGGAUCAGGUAGGGAUACCCGCUGAACUUAAGCAUAUCAAUAAGCGGAGGA
rnacentral:misc_RNA from 1 species